rnacentral:lncRNA from 1 species
GAAUUUGGAAAUAAAUUGUUUUGGAUGGAGACAUAAGGUUCUGAUGUGCUUCUGAACAAAAAAAUUGAAUCACCGCAGUGGUUGAAUUGAAAAAAAUGUUCAAAGCAGAUUUUGUUGGGGUCAUGUGGCCGCCAUUUCUGCAACCACAUGGGUGGAAUUUCGCGAACAAUGCGGGCACUGAUCCACUCGCACGUUGGACAGAAGACCGCGCCCAGGUGCGACCAGAAACCUCGGAAAGGGAGGCAGAUACUAUGUGCGGCUGUGUUCUUAAACCGUGCCUGGCUUCGUCGUGAGCCGUCAUGUCCACGUUCGCUUUCUCAGGUUUGUACUACCAGAAGGCCUUGUCCUCACGGGGAUCGCUCCUCCGCGGACACACGAUUGCGCGACGACGAGGGGCUUCGGUCCAUGCCCAACGGGUCGUCGUUGAAAACCACGAAUAAAUUUUUGUUCUUGUUUAAUGUUCUGGUCAAGCACCCUAAACCUGUAACACAAGCAGAGUGAAGUUCAGUUGAGUUCGAAAAUAAAUCACGAUUGGAAAACCAGUCACAUCAAGACCUCGAGCUGACCUCGGAACUGUAUGCGGCCGUGUCCUUAAACCUGGCUUCCUCGUGAGCCGCUGCGUUUUUUUGCUAUUCCUGUCCUUCGUGGUCCCACACCCUCGCAGUGGCAUUCCGCGGUGAAAGCGCCUGGUCGCGCGGUUUCUCCUUAAGCCUAGUUGGUGGUUCAGGGGUAGAUUUAAGGUGUUUCGACAUUAUAUUGAAUUUCGAAUCAAGUUUGAUUGAAUUGGAUCUCAAUACGCGUUCAUCCAGCAUGAAUAUUUUACUGUAAAUUUUAGAGUGUGGCGUUUGUGGUCAUAAAAAUGCUGUGCAGAGAUUCGCUUCCGAGUAUACCCAGUUAUGAAAAUUUCUGGCAUGUAAAUGAUGAAAAAAUACCACUGAAAAUUUAGAAAUAUUUAAGUAAAGAAAACAAGAAAAAAAAAAGCAAAUAAGAAAGGAAGAAUUACAUGCAAAUACCAAGUGGCUUAAACUUAUUCUUUAAAUGCAUGCUAUAAUAUAUAUUUAUAUAUAUAUAUAUAUACACACAAGAUGAAAACCAUGGCACAUGAGGGGUUUUA